rnacentral:rRNA from 1 species
AAAUUGAAGGGUUUGAUCCUGGCUCAGAAUGAACGUUGGCGGCGUGGAUUAGGCAUGCAAGUCGCGCGAGAAGCCUCCUUCGGGAGAGGGAAAGCGGCGAAAGGGAGAGUAACGCGUGGAUAACCUGCCCUUGGGUCUGGGAUAGCCGUGGGAAACUGCGGGUAAUACCAGAUAACAUCUCCGGAUCAAAGGUGUGAUUCCGCCCGAGGAGGGGUCCGCGUCCUAUUAGCUUGUUGGUGGGGUAAUGGCCUACCAAGGCGAUGAUGGGUACCGGGCGUGAGAGCGUGGCCCGGCUCACUGGGACUGAGACACUGCCCAGACACCUACGGGUGGCUGCAGUCGAGAAUCUUCGGCAAUGGGCGAAAGCCUGACCGAGCGACGCCGCGUGCGGGAUGAAGGCCUUCGGGUUGUAAACCGCUGUCAGAGGGGAGGAAAUCUUAGAGGGUUCUCCCUCUAAGUUGACCUAUCCUCAGAGGAAGUCCGGGCUAAGUUCGUGCCAGCAGCCGCGGUAAGACGAACCGGACAAACGUUAUUCGGAAUCACUGGGCUUAAAGGGUGCGUAGGCGGUAUGGAAAGUUGGAUGUGAAAUCCCUCGGCUCAACCGAGGAAUUGCGUCCAAAACUGCCAUGCUCGAGGGAGGCAGAGGUGAGCGGAACUUAGGGUGGAGCGGUGAAAUGCGUUGAUAUCCUAAGGAACACCGGUGGCGAAAGCGGCUCACUGGGCCUUUUCUGACGCUGAGGCACGAAAGCUAGGGGAGCGAACGGGAUUAGAUACCCCGGUAGUCCUAGCUGU